GUGAGUGUAGCUCAGUCCGGGUAGAGCACUUGGCUGUGGCCCAAGUUGUCGGGGGUUCAAAUCCCCUCACUCACCCCA
rnacentral:tRNA from 1 species